CAGAGGGUGCAAACGUUGUUCGGAAUCACUGGGCGUAAAGCGCGUGUAGGCGGCUGCGCAAGUCGGGCGUGAAAUCCCGUGGCUCAACCACGGAAGUGCACCCGAAACUGCGUAGCUGGAGUCUCGGAGAGGAAGGUGGAAUGCUUGGUGUAGAGGUGAAAUUCGUAGAUAUCAAGCGGAACACCAGUGGCGAAGGCGACCUUCUGGACGAUGACUGACGCUGAGACGCGAAAGCGUGGGGAGCAAACAGGAUUAGAUACCCUGGUAGUCCACGCUGUAAACGAUGAGUGCUAGGUGUCACGGGCUUUGACCCCCGUGGUGCCGUAGCUAACGCAGUAAGCACUCCGCCUGGGGAGUACGGCCGCAAGGCUA
rnacentral:rRNA from 1 species